rnacentral:rRNA from 1 species
CGCGAUUCGCCCUUCGGGGCGCACCAGGCGCGAAAACUCUACAAUGCAGGCAACUGCGAUAGGGGAACAUCGAGUGGCGUCCAUAUUGGAUGUCUGUCCUCCCGCCUAAAAAGCGGGAGUUAGCAAGGGCCGGGCAAGACCGGUGCCAGCCGCCGCGGUAAUACCGGCGGCUCGAGUGGUGGCCGAUAUUAUUGAGUCUAAAGGGUCCGUAGCCGGCUUUGCAAGUCUCUCGGGAAAUCCAGCGGCUUAACCGUUGGUCGUCCGGGGGGUACUACAUUGCUUGGGACUGGGAGAGGUAGGAGGUACUCAGGGGGUAGGAGUGAAAUCCUGUAAUCCUUUGGGGACCACCGGUGGCGAAGGCGUCCUACCAAAACAGGUCCGACGGUGAGGGACGAAAGCUAGGGGCACGAACCGGAUUAUAUACCCGGGUAGUCCUAGCCGUAAACGAUGCUCGCUAGGUGUCACAACAGUCGUGAACUGUUGUGGUGCCGUAUGGAAGCCGUGAAGCGAGCCACUUGGGAAGUACUACCGCAAGGUUGAAACUUAAAGGAAUUGGCGGGGGAGCAC